ensembl:lncRNA
CUCUAAGGAACCUGCUUUACCAACAGAGUUGGACUAGAUGACCUCCAGUGGUCCUUUUCAACCCCUACAGUUCUCUGAUUCUGUGAUCAGGCUUGCUACAAAGAAGACUAUUUCCAUGCCCUUUUAUGCUGUGAAGUCUGUGUGCACACCAACUUGGCUGAAGGAAUCUGCACUGCUGUGACUCAAGGGAGUCCUGGAACAACUUCCUCUUCACAUCCUUUUUGCACACUGUCUUGAGGGGAAUUCUUGUGGACAACACCCAGACACCAUCCCAUGCUGUGCUGUCCAAAGUAGUUUCAAAAUUGCUUUACUGUGUAGAAGGGAACAAGGACCUUGUCCACAGCCAUUUCCAAAGCUGCUUAUGCUGUGCUAUGUUUUGUCAGAGCUUUUGUGUCCCAGGCGUAAUGGAGGUCCCAGCUCAUCCUUCUACCAAAAAAUGGGUGCUUCAGGCAAGAGAAGUGUUCUCCUGUGUCUUGCCUCAUACUGCCACCACCAGAGCUAUGAGUUAUACCAGCUACGGCAUCCCCAUGGAUACAGGCAGAUUUUACUUCUGGAUGCUGACUACCAUGUUCAUAGUGAUGUCUCUUACCAUUCUCCAACAUGGUCCAGGAGAAGGAAAUGUACUUCUGAGACUUCCUGUAGUGCAUCUUGCAUAAGUGUCCCUUCAGAUACUUGGCUGAGGAGAGCAGCCACCCUUGGACUCACCUCUGAUCAUUUCUUCAUACCCUGGUCAUUUAUUUAUGCCUUAUUGUGGAUAGAGGUCAGUGCUCAGCACUUCCUGGUUUCCUGAAGCCUUUGGUACUCAGCAAGUAACUCUGUCU